UCGACGCGAGCACGGCCCAACCGUCACCGUCGUUUCGACGUCGUGGACACCUUCUUGCCGCCGGAUCGUCCACGCGGAAGUCCGUUCUCGUCGCGAUCCAACCUCGUUCCAUCUCACCCUGUAUCGGCCAUAGUACGCGUUUCGAGCCGAUCGCUCGCGGUGCAGCGUGAGCCGCGCGCGAAAGUGAUCCGUCAGUGGUGUGUUCGUCUCUCGACGAAGGAAAGGUCGCGGUACGAAGACUCCGGGUCGAGCAGAGGAUCGAACACUCGAAGCGUUUCGCCUGGCGCGUCAUCUUCAGCCGCCACUCUCUCGCUGCUUCCGCUGGUCCACCGCCGCUCCGUUGCCUCUAGCCAGCCGAGCGAGUAGUCAUCGGGUGAGAGGAGAGUCGGGCCGUAAGGAAAACCCCCGGAGAAAGCAUAGGAAAACUCGGAACGAAGAGAGGGGAAGGAGAGGAAUAGAAAAGAGGGAAUAAAAGAGAAAGAGAAGGAAGAAAAAGGCAGUCGAGAGACGGAAGAGAUCGCGAAGGGGAGCAGAGAGGGUGGAGUGCGUAGUGGAGGCAGAAGAGUCGGGUCGUGAGGGGUCCGCGAAGCGUAGCGUUUGGGUGUGAUGUGGUGGAGCCCCCCGGGGGGCCGCGGGGGCAGGAGGUUCGUGGCAGAUCGGUCGUGAGGGCCCCAGGCACGGCUCGGUUGCCCCGCGGCGUGGUCGUCGGAGGGGCGGGGGAGGAGGUAGGAUGGUGUGACCCCCGGCGUUAUCCCGCCCGACGCGGAGGUGGUGCUGGAGGUGGCGGAGGCGGUGGUGGAGGAGGUGGCGGUGGAGCCGAGCAGCUGCUGCUCGACUCGCAGGAGGAGGAGCCGACGGCGAUGUCGAGGCAGCUUCGCGUUGAACGGGACCACGUGAGCCGUUGCGACCUCCGAGAACAGCGCGACUUCCGCGACCUUCGGGACUUACGCGACAUCAGGGAUCCGAGGGACCUCAGGGAUUACCGGGACUUCAGGGACGACAGGGACGACACGGAAAGGAGUCGGGACGAUUACCUGGAUUACGAUCAUCAUCCCACCGCUGCGGCUACCUCGUCGCUCGCCAACAAUCCGGGCUCGGCAGACUCGAACUACUCACAGCCGAGCUCGGAUCUCUCGCUGGACGAGGAGAAAGAGAGCUUGCGUCGCGAGAAGGAGAGGCAGGCCCUCAAUCAACUUGAAAAAGCCAGGACGAAACCGGUAGCGUUUGCAGUGCGGACCAACGUGAGCUAUGACGGAUCCGUCGACGACGAUUCGCCAGUCCACGGCUCGGCUGUCAGCUUCGAGGUCCGUGACUUCCUGCACAUCAAGGAGAAGUACGACAACAACUGGUGGAUAGGUAGGCUCGUGAAAGAGGACUCGGACGUCGGUUUCAUACCAUCCCCGGUGAAAUUGGAGGCCCUGAGGCAGCAGGCGAGCGUCGCACGUGGCACGAAGGGUCUCUAUUCGGCGCGUGGAGGGUCUUCAGGGAACCUUGGCGAGAGUGGUAUGCCCUCACGUGGUUCCACACCACCUACACCAGGUGACGACAGCGACAGCGUGCGCGGCGGUAAGGCAACGUUGACCACGCCACCGGCUAAGGAGAAACGGAAGAACUUCUUCAAGAAGCCGUCCUACGAAACUACCACGCCGUACGACGUUGUACCAUCUAUGAGGCCUGUCGUCCUGGUGGGUCCAUCGCUGAAGGGUUAUCAGGUGACGGACAUGAUGCAGAAGGCGUUGUUCGAUUACUUGAAGCAUCGAUUCCGAGGCAGAAUAAUUAUCACUAGGGUAAUGGCUGACAUUUCACUGGCAAAGAGAUCGUUAUUGAACAAUCCAACGAAACGAGCCAUCAUGGAACGAUCUACCAGCAGGAGCAGCUGCUUGGCGGAGGUUCAAGCAGAGAUAGAGAGGAUUUUCGAGCUCGCCAGGACCCUUCAGUUGGUAGUUUUGGACUGCGACACGAUCAAUCAUCCGUCGCAGUUAGCGAAGACCAGUCUAGCGCCGACGAUCGUCUACCUGAAGAUUUCGUCGCACAAAGUGCUCGAGAGGUUGAUCAAGUCGCGUGGAAAGUCGCAGAUCAGACACCUGAACGUACAAAUCGUGGCUGCCGAGAAACUGGCCCAGUGCCCGCCGGAGAUGUUCGACGUGAUCCUCGACGAGAAUCAGCUGGAGGAGGCUUGCGAGCACGUGGCCGAGUACCUGGAAGCCUACUGGAGAGCCACGCACCCUCAAGUGAUCGCGACUGUGCCACGUCCGAUUCCUGCGCCGGACGCACCCGUCGACGCGCUAACACCCCGCGUCACAUCAGGUGCCCAUCAUGAGAGUUACUACGGCCACGAGCCAAGAGGAUCAGGCGGACACAUGAGCGAGGGCACUCGAAGAUCGAGGCUGGAGAGGAUGGAUCGUGAUCGGGGCGACCGUGGUGAACAGGACUACGGGAACGAGGAGGAAUCGUACGUCAGUGGCGUGGAAUAUGGCAGCACAUCGAGGCGUCGCCAGCAGCAAGACCCGCGCGCAUUGAACGCCAUUUAGGAGCUGGGGCCCCGGGGCCUGUCGCUACAGCGCUGUCCCCACCUGCGCACCACUGCUCUUUAGUGGGGUCGCCACCUGGAAUUCCGCAAAACGAUGGGCGGGUUGAAACGAUAAUCGAUUGUCCUUGUCGAUGUGGUACGCACAGGAUAAAUCCCCCAUUCGCGGAGCCAGCUCAACGAGAUGAGUAGAAACGAGAAAAAUCGCGUGAACAUACCAAAGAAACACAGAUUUGUGAGAAAGAGAGAAAAAGAGAGAGAGAGAGAGAGAGAGAGAGUGUGAGAAAGAGAUGGAAAAGGGUAUGAAAGAGAAGAAGCGAGAGAGGCAGAGAGAAAGAGAAAAACAGCCCUGGGGCCUUAAUUUUUGCGCUGACUCCUCCCGGGCCCCUAUACCCACCCCCACGAGAAGCAUCGGAUUCUGAGAUCGAUGAUAUAUCAACCAGCUAGGAAUAUACUCGUGAAUCGGCAUCGGGUCUUUAUUAACGGCGCGAGAACUUCGCUCGAAAUUAGGUAGACGAUCGUUUGGAGCUAACGAUACGAUAAAUGAAACGCAAAACGAAACGCAAAACGAAACGUGAAUCGAAGAGUGCGUGAAACGAGAAUCGAGAGAAGCGGAGAGAAAAAUCGAGGAAAGGAAAAAUAGGAGAAAAAAUGGAUAAACGUGAGAAACGAGAAAGCUCGACGCGAAUUUCGCGUGGAAUUCUUACAAUUCGGCCGGCGGAACAGCGAUAGUUGCUUCCACUUAGAGAAAUAUGGCGGAGAGGGUGAAAAAAUGCGAAAUAGAAAAAGAGAUGAUGGAGAGUCACUCUAGUCGAUUACCUUAGGAUCGAUUCGCAUGGUUAAAUUCUUAUUAUAGAAAUUUCGAGAUUCCGCGGCGUGCUAGUCGACGGAAUUUCAACGAUUUUCACGCUCGAGCACGGGAGAAACGUAAAACGAAACGAAUUAACGUGCGUGGCGAUGGGUUUGGAUUGAUCUGAUAAUCAUUAUCGUUCGCGAUUGAAAGUUUUCGAUUAUCGAUACGAUGGCGCGUUGAUGAUCGCCGCGCUAGGCCGACGUGUUUAUACGUUUUAUUAGAGUCUAUUUGGUGAAAAAGAAUACACACGCAAACAUACACGCACGCUACACAUGCGCGUACAGACAUACACGGACACACGUACACGAGGACACGGUGAAACACAUUUUGUGUAUAUAGUAUACAUACAUAAAUAAUAUUAUAUAUAUUGUAUACGUAUGCACGCAGUGAACACUUCCACCUUUGUCACUCGACAGAUUCCGAUCGUGGUAACGACACGCGAGAGUGAGAGCGAAUGAACGAGAAAAUGACGAGGUAUGGAGUGAAAGUGAAAGAGAGCGAAGGAAAAUGAUACUAUACCAUAGAGAUCGAUAGAUAUCGUGUAAAUAUUGUAAGAAGCCUUUAAACGAAAACGAGUCCUUUCCGUUUCGAUUUUGUCGCGAAUGCAGCGUCGUCGACUGCAUCGAGGAUCACGUUUAACGCUGAUGCCGAGUAUUUGUCAGAUUUCUCAUUGUUUUUACGGAUUUUCGACACUUUCGGUCCUCGUGAUCAAGCGUGGACGCUUUCUUCACGCACUACGAACUCGCUGCAAUUAAAGUACGAGAGAUAUUUAUCGAAUAAUCGAAUCGACGCAUACACGUGUACACGCAAACACAUUCGCAAACACACACAUACACGUACACGUACAUAUACAAGCAUAGACACACGCAGAGACACUUGAUCAUGCCACCUACACGAGUCCAAUGAUGGCAACCGAUAUUACCGAUCGUGUAAAUUGGACUAUUUUCUUUUUAGAGGCACGCAUCAACGUUGUUUCUUAAGUAGAACGAACGAAUCUCGGGCACGCCGUUCUUCGCAAAAAUAGCCUUGCACAC
rnacentral:misc_RNA from 1 species